UACAGAGGCCCCAAGCGUUACUGAGAAUCACUGGGUUUAAAGGGUGCGUAGGUGGCGCGUUAAGUCCGUUGUGAAAUCCCUUGGCUCAACCAAGGAAUGGCUUCGGAUACUGGCGUGCUUGAGGCCGGUAAGGGUCACUGGAACUGACGGUGGAGCGGUGAAAUGCGUAGAUAUCAGGAGGAACACCGGUGGCGAAGGCGGGUCUCUGGGCCGAUACUGACGCUGAGGAGCGAAAGCAUGGGUAGCGAACAGG
rnacentral:rRNA from 1 species